rnacentral:rRNA from 1 species
ACUCAAAGGAAUUGACGGGGGCCCGCACAAGCGGUGGAGCAUGUGGUUUAAUUCGAUGCAACGCGAAGAACCUUACCUACUCUUGACAUCCAGAGAAUUCGCUAGAGAUAGCUUAGUGCCUUCGGGAACUCUGAGACAGGUGCUGCAUGGCUGUCGUCAGCUCGUGUUGUGAAAUGUUGGGUUAAGUCCCGCAACGAGCGCAACCCUUAUCCUUUGUUGCCAGCGAGUAAUGUCGGGAACUCAAAGGAGACUGCCGGUGAUAAACCGGAGGAAGGUGGGGAUGACGUCAAGUCAUCAUGGCCCUUACGAGUAGGGCUACACACGUGCUACAAUGGCAUAUACAAAGAGAAGCAAACUCGCGAGAGCAAGCGGACCUCAUAAAGUAUGUCGUAGUCCGGAUUGGAGUCUGCAACUCGACUCCAUGAAGUCGGAAUCGCUAGUAAUCGUAGAUCAGAAUGCUACGGUGAAUACGUUCCCGGGCCUUGUACACACCGCCCGU